rnacentral:lncRNA from 1 species
CCACAUCUCUAGAGGCAGGCCAUGGGAAGGUGGAAUCACCUGUGUGCCUCACCGCUCUUAUUCCAACAAAGCGUGACCCGCAGAGAUAGAAAAGCUGUCCACUUUCCUCUGUAACCGAUUCUACCCAGGAAGACGCUAUUUACCUACCAGGAGCCCUUCCGGAGCCACACCCGCUCAGUCGGAGCUACAGAAGCGGGAACUGAUGUAAAGCUAAGAGAUGUCAAGAGUAAAAUCCAGCACUCACAGCAUUUACUCAGAAAAAUCUUGGUUAAUUUUGGACGAUAAAGACCCAGGAAAGAACGUAAUAAAGAAGCUGUAUGAAGCGGAGCGGG